GAGUUUGAUCAUGGCUCAGGAUGAACGCUGGCGGUAUGCCUAACACAUGCAAGUCGAACGAUGUCUUCGGACAUAGUGGCGGACGGGUGAGUAACGCGUGAGAAUCUGCCUCUAGGAUGGGGAUAACGGUUGGAAACGACCGCUAACACCCAAUAUGCCGUAAGGUGAAAAAUUUAUUGCCUGGAGAGGAGCUCGCGUCUGAUUAGCUAGUUGGUGGGGUAAGAGCUCACCAAGGCUUCGAUCAGUAGCUGGUCUGAGAGGAUGAGCAGCCACACUGGGACUGAGACACGGCCCAGACUCCUACGGGAGGCAGCAGUGGGGAAUUUUCCGCAAUGGGCGAAAGCCUGACGGAGCAAUACCGCGUGAGGGAGGAAUGCCUUUGGGUUGUAAACCUCUUUUCUCAGGGAAGAAGAUCUGACGGUACCUGAGGAAUAAGUAUCGGCUAACUCCGUGCCAGCAGCCGCGGUAAUACGGAGGAUGCAAGCGUUAUCCGGAAUCAUUGGGCGUAAAGCGUCCGCAGGUGGUUUCCAAAGUCUGCUGUUAAAGACUGGAGCUCAACUCCGGAACGGCGGUGGAAACUUGGAAACUAGAGUUCGGUAGGGGUAGCAGGAAUUCCCAGUGUAGCGGUGAAAUGCGUAGAUAUUGGGAAGAACAUCGGUGGCGAAGGCGUGCUACUGGACCGUAACUGACACUCAGGGACGAAAGCUAGGGGAGCGAAAGGGAUUAGAUACCCCUGUAGUCCUAGCUGUAAACGAUGGAAACUAGGUGUGGCUUGUAUCGACCCGAGCCGUGCCGUAGCUAACGCGUUAAGUUUCC
rnacentral:rRNA from 1 species